GCGGGGCUGCCUUUCGCGCCAGGCAAACGAUCCCCUGGGCCAAUAAGCACCCUCCGGGAGCUGGCUCUGUCCGGGCCCUGGUCCGGAUAUCUGGCGCCCACCUGCGUUAGCAGGCCUUGGAGGACGAAUCGCCAGCGGUCAUGGCGGCUCCGCA
rnacentral:other from 1 species